rnacentral:tRNA from 1 species
CUCCUUGUGGUGUAGUUGGCUAUCACGUUCGACUGUAAUUGAUAAAUCAUAUCGAAAGGUCACCGGCUCGAUUCCGGUCGGGGAGA